GAUGAAGAACGUAGCGAACGUGCGAAACGUAAUGUGAAUUGCAGAAUUCAGUGAAUCAUCGAAUCUUUGAACGCAUCUUGCGCUCCUUGGUAUUCCGAGGAGCAUGCCUGUUUGAGUGUCGUGAAUACUCUCAACUUCAACCCUUUUUUCGGAAAGGGAGGAAGGUUGGACUUGGGUGUUUGUUGAAGUGCGAGCUUCGACUCAUCCUAAAUGCAUUAGCGAUCUGCCUCGAUCACACACAAUGUGAUAAUUAAAACUAAAGCAUUGUUUAAUGAUCAAGUCGAGACUGCUUCUAACUGUCGCAAGACAAUAACGUGCAUACAUUUGUGCAUGUCAUUUGACCUCAAAUCAGGUAGAACUACCCGCUGAACUUAAGCAUAUCAAUAAGCGGAGGA
rnacentral:misc_RNA from 1 species